rnacentral:lncRNA from 1 species
CCCACCCCCGCCCGCGAAGGUUUCUGGUCUGAAGUAGCAGAAAUGAGCGCUGGUAGGGGGGUUGCCUAAGAAUCUUGGGGUUUACAGUUCUGACACAUCCUAGACGCUGAGCCAAGGAGGACUGCUGGCACCCUCAUGCUGUGCUGUGUACAGAACACACGAUGCUGAAGGUGGCCAAGUCCUGGAGAGCCAUGGGAGAAAUCGGGAGACAGGGCGAUGUGGCCCCCGUCCUGGCAGCAGCAGAGCAUGAAAGCCCAAGUCUCUGAAGCCAACAGGCCCGACUGUGACAUCCCAACGAGAUGGCACCUUCUGACCAAGUUACCUCCUUCUCAGACAGAUGUCAACUCUAAAAUCAAGCUAAUACAGGUCUUGAGUAACUGUUUUGAGGAUUAAAUUUACGAAGAUCUGCAGCGCACCUAGCAAGUGCUCGAGAGUAACUAUUCACCAGCAUCACUAAUGGUCAGCUGCAAAGGUGACCUCACUGGUAGAAGAACAGAGGAAAUGACUUGGCAUGAAUUUAAUCUGAAGACUCUUGCAGAAUUGCAGCAGUUUCUUGACAGGAGCCUGGAAAAGUCCUGGCAGCUGUGAUAGUAUCUGCUACCCCAAGCCUUGAUAAAUGGAAAAAGGAAAGUAGUAACUUCAGAGUGGAGAAAGGGACAAACACCACCUGAACCAAAUGAUCAAAGUGAUGCCAUUAACAGUGGGACAAAGAGAAACGUGAACAUGCGCCUCCCGAGAGGGGACAACGAGGACAACGCAGCAGCACCACCGUUACGUUCCUGCCAAAAAUGAGUAACAACCUGACUGUGAGGAAACACCAAAUGAAUCCAAAUUGAGAGCCAUUUGACAAAAUAAAUGGCCUGUCUUCAAAAAUGUCAAGAUCACGGAAGCCAAAGAACAACGGAGGAACGAUUCGAGAUUCAGGAGACCAACAGGACAGGAAAAGUCAAUGCAAGGUGUGACUCUGAGCGGAUCCUGGGCCAGAAAAUAACACUUCUUUUUCUUUUGCUUUAAAGACAGUAUUUUUUGUAGUGAGUAAACUGGCAACAAUUUGAAAACAUUUUAAAGAGUAGGAAAACUGGCAAAAUUUGAAAGGUUUGUAGAUAAGACAAUGGUGCUGUUUCAAUGUCAGUUUCCUAAUUGUGGUAACAGUACUGCAUUGCAGUUCCAUAAGGGAAUGUUGUCCUGUGUCGAUGAAAUACACACUUAAGAACUGUUAGCAAUUUGCUGAAAUGGUUCAGAAGAUACCAAUUAUUUACAUAUAUAGAUGGUGGAGGUGGGAAGAGAGAGAGAGAGAGAGAAAGAGAGGAAUACACAAUAAAUCAACCCUGAUAAAAUGUUAACAUUUGCGGACUCUGGGUGAAAUUAUCUGGACAUUCUUUGUAUUAUUGUUUUGCAACUUUUCCCAAGUCUAAGUUAUUUCAAAAUAAGUUUUAAAAAAUUAAAAAGUAUCAAAAUCAAAAUAAGUUUUCCUUUUAGAUGGGGAAAAAAAUAAGUGUAGGAUUAAAAGCGUGUAGGCUAUGUUCAGGGUAGUGAGAAAAAUCUGCAGUAAUUACUUUGAAAUUGAAGUCAGUGGUUACACAGAGUGAUAAUUGGAAGUUGGCACAAUUCCAGGGUGCUGACACUAUCUCCCAAAUUAACCCAACAAACUGGACAGCAGAGCAGGAAAAGGUAUUUUCUUUAUUGAGUAGUCAUAAAUGAGAAGCAAGAACAUUCAAAAUAAUACUGAGCUUCUUUACAAAUAAGGAUUUUUCUCACAAGCUUUAUAAACUUAAAAAAAAUUUUCUGCACUAAAGGCAAUCAUCCUACAAAUAACUACAAGUUAACAAAAAUAGAAGGGACACCUAGUAGUCCCCUGACAUUCACCAUCAGCAGCAGUAGCGUCUCUCCAGUGCUGGCCAUUUCAGAGAGGUGGCAUUUUCCAUGAUGACCAGAAAUUAACUAGACUAGCUAUAGGGGCUACGAGACAUUACAAAGUGUGCAAUUACUCAGGAACAUGCACAUGUAGAGGUAAAUUGUGGAACCAGGUAUGUGGUGGUAAUGUGGACAAGUUUCCCAACAGCAGCCGAAAGCCUGGAUUAAUCUUUGUUUUGGAGUUGUCCUGUGUUGGGUGGGACGGUUAGCGGGGUCUCGGGCUUCCACACACUAGAUGCCAUAGCACUCCCUCCCAGCUGUGACAACCAAGUAUGUCUCCAGACAUUGCCGAAUAUGCCCGGGGGCAAUACUGCCCCGGUUGAGAAUCGCACCUCUAAGGUCCCUCCUACCAGCAAAUUUCUCUGAGUCUGUGUUGAGAAAAUGAAAUGCUAUGGAAUUUCAGAGGGAGAACUAAGGCAGUGAGAGGAGGAUUUUGGGAGCAGGGAGGAUUUGAGAUAAGUCUUGGGAUAAAAUAAAUCAAAUAGGGGUAUAGGAAAUGGUGAGCUUUCCAGAAGUAGGGAUGUCACAAUUUAAGGAGUGUACACAGGAAAGAACAGACCGCCACAGGACUGUUAGGAAGCCAGCGGGCCGGGCAGAGUCUUCACUAGUAGAUAAGGCAAGAAGCACUUGUCAUGUUAUAAUGUGUUGAAGGAAUUACAAAAUUUUUUUUUUUUUUUGAGUUUUG